ensembl:lncRNA
CGGCUAUGAGGUUUCCAGACAAGUGAAAGACGGGCCACCGCAGAGUCACGGUCCCGUCCUCAGUCCUGAUGUCUCUGGAGAUGGUGUCAAAGGAUCCGAAGCACAGCAGUCAGGGCAGAAGCAGCCUGAUGGGAUCCAGAGGCUUCCCGCGAGCGGGAUCAGCCCUGAGACAGGACAGCGCCCAGCACAAGUGAUCCUGCGGGAUUUGCAGGAAGCCCAUGGCAUGCCCAGUAGAGACACGUGGGGUGAUUUCCUGCUUUCUGUGGAGG